CUACGGGUUGCUGCAGUGGGGAAUAUUGCACAAUGGGCGCAAGCCUGAUGCAGCCAUGCCGCGUGUAUGAAGAAGGCCUUCGGGUUGUAAAGUACUUUCAGCGGGGAGGAAGGGAGUAUAGUUAAUACCUUCGCUCAUUGACGUUACCCGCAGAAGAAGCACCGGCUAACUCCGUGCCAGCAGCCGCGGUAAUACGGAGGGUGCAAGCGUUAAUCGGAAUUACUGGGCGUAAAGCGCCCGCAGGCGGUUUGUUAAGUCAGAUGUGAAAUCCCCGGGCUCAACCUGGGAACUGCAUCUGAUACUGGCAGGCUUGAGUCUGGUAGAGGGGGGUAGAAUUCCUGGUGUAGCAGUGAAAUGCGUAGAGAUCUGGAGGAAUACCGGUGGCGAAGGCGGCCCCCUGGACGAAGACUGACGCUCAGGUGCGAAAGCGUGGGGAGCAAACAGGAUUAGAUACCCCCGUAGUC
rnacentral:rRNA from 1 species